UCGAAUCAUUUGUGUCAGUUAACUGAAGAUUUUAUUAGUACUUUCACUGGUGCAUAAGAUUUCGUUGGUUACACGUAAUGACAGAGCACUGCGAAACGUAUCUUUAGCGUGUCUCUUUCCGGUGAUGGCUGCCGGGUGUACUGAGCCGUCAAAAUGGCGGCUGGGUGAGAGAUGCGCUAUGGGCCGGCAAGAAAAUGAGCGGUUUCUACGACUGCAGCGAGGAUAUGACAACCGGUCGCUAUCGCACAAAGAAGGUCUACCACGCCGAUGAGACUGGCUUGUUUCCUGUGUCCGUCUCCGACGAUAUACAGGCCAGCAGGAAAGGCAGUUUGACAUUUGGAUGUAAGAUGUUGACCCAAGGACCAAUGCCUGGUGAAGGGUCUCCUUUCAAACGGAUGGACAGAUGAACACCAGCAACCACUGCAAAAAGGAUAGGCCUAUACACAACAACUGUGGAGUGUGUCCUUUCAGCUGGAUGGGAAGAAGACCACCAGAAACUAUUGCACAAAGGGUAGGCUUAUACAACAACCUAAGAGACCUUUGCUCUGUGGAGCGUCUCCUUUCAAAUGGAUGGGCAGACGAACACCAGCAACCACUGCACAAAAAGUAUGCAACAGCCCAUGGGACGUAUACUAUGUGCAGUGUCUCCUUUCAGCUGGAUGGGUGUGUGAACACCAGCAACUACUGCACAGAGGGUAGGCUUAUACAAAAACUCAAGGGACCUACGCUCUAUGUAGUGUCUCGUUUCAAAAGGAUGUACAGAUAAAUGUCAGCAACCACCGCACAAAGGGUACACAACGACACAAGGGACCUACGCUCCAUGGAAUGUCUCCUUUCAAAUGGAUGAGUGCAUGAACACCAGCAACCACUGCAAAAAGGGUAUAAACAAUCCGAUGUGGAAAAAUUUAAACAGAAGGCUCCUGAUGAUAUGGAAACAGAGCAAAGACAAUGGAAGCUAUUCAGAGGUGUCUCCAUUCUGAAUUACAGUUGGACAGGACAUCCACCAACAUGGUAGGAAGAAAAUGUCCAACUCCUACCGAUUAUGUUACAGUAAGGAAUGCCACUUGUUCUCAAUGUGACUAAACAGGGCGAUAAGGCAUGGAAUGCAAUGAAGUACGUGGUAUGUAUAGAGAAAAGGGCAGGAUGCCAGUGCCAAGCAGAAGUUGGAAGAAUAAGGGAAAAUUAGAGGCGACAAAGCUGUGCAGUCGAACACGGUCGCAGUAAAUAAGCCUACAGUGUGAAUAAUAGGCAGAUAAGCCCACAGUCUGAACAGUAGACUGUGCCACAGAAAACGAUGUAUUAGAAAGUAUUGUGCGCGACUGAGGAAGCAAUUGAAGUUACUGUCAGAUACAGGGGCACAUCUGUUAAGAAAACAAAUAUUCCUCUUAUUUGUAAUGCUAGAAUACAUGAAGCAGGAGUACCUUGGCUGAGAAGUGUCCGCAGCGAAGCACUAUGUAGGAGUGAGUGCUGUGUCUUGAAGAUAGUGUACCUAGGAAGAAAUGAUGUUUCGAGAUCAGUAUAUCCAGUUAGUGACCGUUUCUAGAAUCACAUGAGGGUAUGGGUGGUGGAGACCCCCAUAACUGGUUUCUGACGUUUUUUAUUGUUUUUGUUGUUGCUAGACUUGAGGUUGUGUUUUGUGCUGCAACUGUAAAUAUUUCGCCUGUAAACAUUUUCAGAGCUACAUA